rnacentral:lncRNA from 1 species
CGGCAUGUCAGCUGGUUCGAUUACUGGUACUUAGCAACCGACGUUGCCCAUGUAAUCAGGCCCAUGUAAUCAGGCCCAUGCAGCCCGAGAGCAUUACCUCCUGCAAUUAGGUAUCCAGUGAAAAGGUCUGCUGCGCCGUGAACUGUUACUACUGUAUGUCGCGUCGCUUCGCGCCAGCGUUGCAGGUCUAGUGUUUCUCGUGGCCGCAUUCGUCUCAAUCCGAAGGACAGGUUUGGAUUAUGUGGUGUCCUAGUCAUCGGCAUGCCCUUGCAGGCGAAUCAAAGCUUGGCGACAAAUUUAUCGCCGAAAGCGAGGUAAAUUAUUGCAAAACAGCGCAUGUGGUAUAUAUUUGAAGUAUAACUUUAGAGCAUUGGGUUUGCAAGAGGAAGAAGGCUUUGCUAGAAAGACGUUUUUUAAAGUUCGUCGGAUCCGCUCGACAGUUGCAAUUGCAGAUGCACAACCUUUGGCGUCUUGGACCCAAAAAAUUUAACUUGAUUCCCAUGUUUUAUGGCCCCUAUAAUAAAAACGCUCAAGUCAAAGAGGUGUAUGUGUUGUCAAGCCGUACUGGCGCAUUGUUAUCCCUGAUGCUGUUACAGUGCCGCGCCCAACCCGUUCCGUUCACAAUCUGAAGUGGCCUCGUCCUCCAGUUGACCCCAAAGCCUUCAUACCCCAGGAGAAGGUUCUGUGCAACGCAAGCGGUGCAGCGUGCCCUUCCGCACGUGCCGCGUGUCCGUCUCUUAAAGAACUUGUCGGCCCAUGUGUGCACGAUCACGCAUGGUGACUUGUAGGCACAGGUACGUCCACUCCCGUGUCGACCGACUCGCGGAAACACAACGUCUCAACCUGAACAGACGCCUCACCAAAACACCAAUCCGACCCGAUCGGACAACGAUGUAAGCCACUGCCAAGUUUCUUACACGCCACGCGAUUACCAGCCCCCAUCAGUAACUCCAACUCCAACCCACCUCCCAUCAACGCAAGACAGUCCACACACAAUACAAUAACUAAAUCCCAAAACCACCCUCUGAGGCAAGGUCGCCUCCCACGCACUGGACACUCCCACGCAUUCCCUUUUCCGCCUUUUCCCCCCUUUCCCUGGUCCAGCUCAUUCCGUGCUCUGCUGCUGCUGCUGCUGGUGUGGGCCGCAAGGGCGGAGCCGCACCCCGUGAGAGGAGAUCACUUGAGCGAGUUGUAGAAGAGGAUGAGGAUGGUCCCCACCACCAGCAUCACGGGGAUGGCGCUCACGCCGUACAGCACGCCGUACCCCACCCAGCCGGGCAGCAUGUCCGUCAUGGACUGCGGCUUCUCUCCCUUGCGGAGCUCGUCGCCCAUCACAUACGGCUUCACGAC